rnacentral:rRNA from 1 species
CAGUCGCCACGGUAAUACGAAGGGUGCAAGCGUUACUCGGAAUUACUGGGCGUAAAGCGUGCGUAGGUGGUGGUUUAAGUCCGUUGUGAAAGCCCUGGGCUCAACCUGGGAAUUGCAGUGGAUACUGGGUCACUAGAGUGUGGUAGAGGAUAGUGGAAUUUCCGGUGUAGCAGUGAAAUGCGUAGAGAUCGGAAGGAACAUCUGUGGCGAAGGCGACUAUCUGGGCCAACACUGACACUGAGGCACGAAAGCGUGGGGAGCAGACAGGAUUAGAUACCCCAGUAGUCCCUGUCUCUUUACA